rnacentral:rRNA from 1 species
GCCUAAUACAUGCAAGUCGAGCGAGCGGAACUAACAGAUUUACUUCGGUAAUGACGUUAGGAAAGCGAGCGGCGGAUGGGUGAGUAACACGUGGGGAACCUGCCCCAUAGUCUGGGAUACCACUUGGAAACAGGUGCUAAUACCGGAUAAGAAAGCAGAUCGCAUGAUCAGCUUUUAAAAGGCGGCGUAAGCUGUCGCUAUGGGAUGGCCCCGCGGUGCAUUAGCUAGUUGGUAAGGUAAAGGCUUACCAAGGCGAUGAUGCAUAGCCGAGUUGAGAGACUGAUCGGCCACAUUGGGACUGAGACACGGCCCAAACUCCUACGGGAGGCAGCAGUAGGGAAUCUUCCACAAUGGACGCAAGUCUGAUGGAGCAACGCCGCGUGAGUGAAGAAGGUUUUCGGAUCGUAAAGCUCUGUUGUUGGUGAAGAAGGAUAGAGGUAGUGACUGGCCUUUAUUUGACGGUAAUCAACCAGAAAGUCACGGCUAACUACGUGCCAGCAGCCGCGGUAAUACGUAGGUGGCAAGCGUUGUCCGGAUUUAUUGGGCGUAAAGCGAGCGCAGGCGGAAGAAUAAGUCUGAUGUGAAAGCCCUCGGCUUAACCGAGGAACUGCAUCGGAAACUGUUUUUCUUGAGUGCAGAAGAGGAGAGUGGAACUCCAUGUGUAGCGGUGGAAUGCGUAGAUAUAUGGAAGAACACCAGUGGCGAAGGCGGCUCUCUGGUCUGCAACUGACGCUGAGGCUCGAAAGCAUGGGUAGCGAACAGGAUUAGAUACCCUGGUAGUCCAUGCCGUAAACGAUGAGUGCUAAGUGUUGGGAGGUUUCCGCCUCUCAGUGCUGCAGCUAACGCAUUAAGCACUCCGCCUGGGGAGUACGACCGCAAGGUUGAAACUCAAAGGAAUUGACGGGGGCCCGCACAAGCGGUGGAGCAUGUGGUUUAAUUCGAAGCAACGCGAAGAACCUUACCAGGUCUUGACAUCUAGUGUCAUUUGUAGAGAUACAAAGUUCCCUUCGGGGACGCUAAGACAGGUGGUGCAUGGCUGUCGUCAGCUCGUGUCGUGAGAUGUUGGGUUAAGUCCCGCAACGAGCGCAACCCUUGUUAUUAGUUGCCAGUAUUAAGUUGGGCACUCUAAUGAGACUGCCGGUGACAAACCGGAGGAAGGUGGGGAUGACGUCAAGUCAUCAUGCCCCUUAUGACCUGGGCUACACACGUGCUACAAUGGGCAGUACAACGAGAAGCGAGCCUGCGAAGGCAAGCGAAUCUCUGAAAGCUGUUCUCAGUUCGGACUGCAGUCUGCAACUCGACUGCACGAAGCUGGAAUCGCUAGUAAUCGCGGAUCAGCACGCCGCGGUGAAUACGUUCCCGGGCCUUGUACACACCGCCCGUCACACCAUGGGAGUCUGCAAUGCCCAAAGCCGGUGGCCUAACCUUCGGGAAGGAGCCGUCUAAGGCAGGGCAGAUGACUGGGGUG